rnacentral:tRNA from 1 species
GAGGAUAUAGCUCCGUUAUAGAGUGCAUGCUUAGCGUGCAGGAGGCCCUGGGUUCAAUCCCCAGUACCUCCA